rnacentral:rRNA from 1 species
CGACCGAGCUGUCGUGAAAUAACCCAUCUGAGAGAGACGACCAUGGACCCGAACGGCGCCGCAAAAACGUUCGCUCGACCACCAAAGCACGACUCGCCUGUCCCUCGCAAACUGGAAACCACCCAAAGCGUGUGCAGAGAGUCCCCCUCUGGUACAAGGUCCCAAAACCCACGCCCGGAACCCACACCCGGAACGUCGCCUUCGUCGACUGCAAGGGGGCUGCUAAGCACGCAGGCCCCUAUAAGAGUGCAAACGGGACUCUGAACUGCCAACCACCGACUGUUUGGCACAUCGGGAGGGUGCUCACUGAGCCAUCCGCCGAGGGACCUGCACAUGUCCCUUUCCAGCAAGCUGACGGAACUGACCCCAAUGGCAAUGUCCCCCACGGGACCUCAUCCCUUUCCGCUCUCAAACGUCGACUGCAAGCAGGCCUGUGCUCUGAACAUAUUCGCAUGGAAUAACGCGAUAGGACUCUGGUCCUAUUUCGUUGGUCUUCGGGAUUGGAGUAAUGAUUAAUAGAGACGAUUGGGGGCAUUCGUAUUCCAUUGUCAGAGGUGAAAUUCUUGGAUUUAUGGAUGACGAASUUCUGCGAAAGCAUUUGCCAAGGACGUUCUCAUUAAUCAAGAACGAAAGUUGGGGGAUCGAWGACGAUCAGAUACCGUCCUAGUCUCAACCAUAAAGGAUGCCGACUAGGGAUUGGCGGAUGUCUAUUGGAUGACUCUGCCAGCACCUUGUGAGAAAUCAAAGUUUACGGGUUCCGGGGGCAGUAUGGUCAAAAGGCUGAAACUUAAAGGAAUUGACGGAAGGGCACCACCAGGCGUGGAGCCUGAGGCUGAAUUUGACUCAACACGGGGAAACUCACCAGGUCCAGACAUAGCAAGGAUUGAYAGAUUGAGAGCUCUUUCUUGAUUCUAUGGGUGGUGGUGCAUGGCCGUUCUUAGUUGGUGGAGUGAUUUGUCUGGUUAAUUCUGUUAACGAACCAGACCUCAGCUUGCUAAAUAGCUUUGCGGGGACCUUUCCUCGUGGCCAGCUUCUUAGAGGGACUGUUGGACGACUAGCCAACGAAAGUUUGAGGCAGUAACAGGUUUGUGAUGCCCUUAGAUGUUCGGGGCCGCACGCGCGCUACACUGAUGAAUCCAACGAGUCGCUUGCYUGGGUCGAAAGGCCCGGGUAACCUUCUUAAGGUUCAUCGUGACGAGGAUAAAUUGUUGUAAUUAUCGAUCUUGAACGAGGAAUGCCUAGUAAGCGCGAGUCAUCAGCUCGCGCUGAUUACGUCCCUGCCCUUUGUACACACCGCCCGUCGCUCCUACCGAUUGAAUGGUCCGGUGAAGUGUCUUGAUUGCGGUGAUCUCGGCGGUUUGCCGCUGGGUGUGCUGUAAGAAGUUCAUUGAACCUUAUCAUUUAGAAGAAGGAGAAGUCGUAACAAGGUUUCCGUAGGUGAACCUGCGGAAG